rnacentral:rRNA from 1 species
UACGGGGGGGGCAAGCGUUGUUCGGAAUUACUGGGCGUAAAGGGCGUGUAGGUGGCCAACUAAGUCAGACGUGAAAUCCCUCGGCUUAACCGGGGAACUGCGUCUGAUACUGGAUGGCUUGAGUGUGGGAGAGGGAUGCGGAAUUCCAGGUGUAGCGGUGAAAUGCGUAGAUAUCUGGAGGAACAUCAGUGGCGAAAGCGGCUUCCUGGUCCAGCACCGACGUUCAGGCACGAAAGCGUGGGGAGCAAACAGG